GAUGAACGCUGGCGGCGUGCCUAAUACAUGCAAGUCGAGCGAACGGACGAGAAGCUUGCUCCUCUGAUGUUAGCGGCGGACGGGUGAGUAACACGUGGAUAACCUACCUAUAAGACUGGGAUAACUUCGGGAAACCGGAGCUAAUACCGGAUAAUAUUUUGAACCGCAUGGUUCAAAAGUGAAAGACGGUCUUGCUGUCACUUAUAGAUGGAUCCGCGCUGCAUUAGCUAGUUGGUAAGGUAACGGCUUACCAAGGCAACGAUGCAUAGCCGACCUGAGAGGGUGAUCAGCCACACUGGAACUGAGACACGGUCCAGACUCCUACGGGAGGCAGCAGUGGGGAAUCUUGCGCAAUGGGCGAAAGCCUGACGGAGCAACGCCGCGUGAGUGAUGAAGGUCUUCGGAUCGUAAAACUCUGUUAUUAGGGAAGAACAUAUGUGUAAGUAACUGUGCACAUCUUGACGGUACCUAAUCAGAAAGCAACGGCUAACUACGUG
rnacentral:rRNA from 1 species